CCUACGGGUGGCUGCAGUGGGGAAUAUUGGACAAGGGGGGCAACCCUGAUCCAGCCAUGCCGCGUGUGUGAAGAAGGCCCUCGGGGUGUAAAGCACUUUCAGUGAGGAAGAACGCCUGGUGGUUAAUACCCAUCAGGAAAGACAUCACUCACAGAAGAAGCACCGGCUAACUCCGUGCCAGCAGCCGCGGUAAUACGGAGGGUGCGAGCGUUAAUCGGAAUUACUGGGCGUAAAGCGCGCGUAGGUGGCUUGAUAAGCCGGUUGUGAAAGCCCCGGGCUCAACCUGGGAACGGCAUCCGGAACUGUCAAGCUAGAGUGCAGGAGAGGAAGGUAGAAUUCCCGGUGUAGCGGUGAAAUGCGUAGAGAUCGGGAGGAAUACCAGUGGCGAAGGCGGCCUUCUGGACUGACACUGACACUGAGGUGCGAAAGCGUGGGUAGCAAACAGGAUUAGAUACCCUAGUAGUC
rnacentral:rRNA from 1 species